rnacentral:lncRNA from 10 species
GGGAAGUGGCAGCAGUAAUUUAAGAGAUGUCUGCAGACCAAGGUGAAUUUAGUGAAUAUCAAAAACUUCUUGAGUGCUCCAUCGUAACGCCAUUUAUCUUGACAUAAACUGCAAAGAUGGCUCAAAUGUCGAUAAGGAUAUCAGUUCAGGGUCUCCAGUGGCUGCAGCCUAUCCCAGAAGCUCAGGGUGCAAGGCAAGAAGUAAUCGUGGGACCAGGCGCCGUGGCUCUCGCCUGUAAUCCCAGCACUUUGGGAGGCAGAGGCUGGUGAAUCACUUGAGGUCAGGGGUUCCAGACUAGCCUGGCCAACAUGAUGAAACCUCAUCUCCACUAAAAAUACAAAUAUUAAUUGGAUGUAGUGGUACAUGCCUGUAAUCCCAGCUACUCGGGAGGCUGAAGCUUGAACCCGGAGGCAGCGGUUGCAGUGAGCUGAGAUCGUGAUACUGCACUCCAGCC